rnacentral:rRNA from 1 species
CCUAUGCUCGAAUACAUUAGCAUGGAAUAAUAGAAUAGGACGUGCGGUUCUAUUUUGUUGGUUUCUAGGACCGCCGUAAUGAUUAAUAGGGACAGUCGGGGGCAUCAGUAUUCAAUUGUCAGAGGUGAAAUUCUUAGAUUUAUUGAAGACUAACUACUGCGAAAGCAUUUGCCAAGGAUGUUUUCAUUAAUCAGGAACGAAAGUUAGGGGAUCGAAGACGAUCAGAUACCGUCGUAGUCUUAACCAUAAACUAUGCCGACUAGGGAUCGGACGGUGUUAUUUUUUGACCCGUUCGGCACCUUACGAGAAAUCAAAGUGCUUGGGCUCCAGGGGGAGUAUGGUCGCAAGGCUGAAACUUAAAGAAAUUGACGGAAGGGCACCACCAGGGGUGGAGCCUGC